GACGAAGGAUGCAAGCGUUAUCCGGAUUCAUUGGGUUUAAAGGGAGCGUAGGUGGCCUUAUAAGUCAGUGGUGAAAUCUCUCAGCUUAACUGAGAAAUUGCCAUUGAUACUGUAGGGCUUGAGUACAGAUGCCGUUGGCGGAAUAUGACAUGUAGUGGUGAAAUACAUAGAGAUGUCAUAGAACACCGAUUGCGAAGGCAGCUGACGAAACUAUAACUGACACUGAGGCUCGAAAGUGUGGGGAUCAAACAGG
rnacentral:rRNA from 1 species